rnacentral:rRNA from 1 species
UACGUAGGGUCCAAGCGUUAUCCGGAUUUAUUGGGCGUAAAGCACAUGUAGGUGGUUUUCUAAGUCUCGUCUUAAAGCUCUGGGCUCAACCCAGAAUCUGGACGAGAUACUAGAAGGCUUGUGGUCAGCAGGGGCAAACGGAAUUCCCGGUGUAGGAGUGAAAUCCGUUGAUAUCGGGAGGAACACCAAUGGCGAAGGCAGUUUGCUAGGCUGAUUCAGACACUGAGAUGUGAAAGCGUGGGGAGCGAACGGG